GAGCCCGUAGCUCAAUGGUUAGAGCGUUGGACUUCUGAUCAACAGGUUGCGGGUUCG
rnacentral:tRNA from 1 species